CACUGCCAUUCUAUGGCUACCAUCCUAUUAAAUUUUAAUAAAGAGAAGUUCAAGUUGUUGCUUGUAAAGUUGAUGAUGCAGUAAAUGGAUAGUGUAAAGACCCUUUCUGGUUAGCCUUUUGGGAUGAGGUUCUGAGUUAUUACAAAUAGUAUCAGAGCAGAUCUGGGCUAUAACUAGUGUAGAUUAAAAAAUAUAGAAGUAUGAGCUUAUUAGGAUUGACCAUGAGCUGAUCAUGGUGUUUGUGAUUAGACUUGAUGUAUUUGUGAUAGGGGUGUUAAUCGGGUCGGGUCAAACAUAAACAGAUCGGAUUAGAUGUAGGUCAGAUCAGAAAAUCAUAAACUUGAACCCGACCUAUUUAUUAAAUAGAUCAAAAAUUACAACCUAAACCCGACCCAUUUAACCUGUUUAAUAAACAGGUAGAGGUGGCAAUCAGGUCGGGUCAGACAUAAAUGGGUUGGGUCAGAUGUAAGUCGGGUCAAAAAAUCAUAAACCUGAACCCGACCUGUUUAUUAAAUAGGUCAGAAAAUUACAACUUGAACCUGACCUGUUUAUUAAACGGAUAAUCCAACCCGACCUGUUUAACCCAUUUAAUAAAUAAAAACUUCUAUCAUCUCGUUCCCCAGACCCCACUGACUCGUCAGAAAAUCUCGUUCU
rnacentral:lncRNA from 1 species